CCCCGGAGGGAAGUGAAGAGUGAGGGCUGAGCCGCCUACAAGGGAGGGAGGCUGCCUCAGGGCCUUGAGCCGCAAGGUCCCACUGCGGCACGUGAGCUGACGCGAGCUGCCAGGGACUCCGGCGCCGGCGCGGGGCGCAUCCCUGGGAAUCCAUCCUUGGGAGCCGCUGACAGUCCAGCUCCAGGCUGCCCCAGAGCUCCACAACCCGUCAGUCUUUUCUCCUCCAGUUGUGGAAGGCAAGAAGAGGCGCAGACCCAUCAAGAGUGCAGAAGAUACUUAUGGAGCAUCGAUUAUGAUGAGCCCAGCAGCCCAAGGUUAAACAGGAGAGUUCCCUUCCAGAACUUACUGAUGUGCUAAUUGAAUAUCUUACAUGAACCACCACGAUUCACCCACCACGAUCCACCCACCACGGUCCACCCACCACGGUCCACCCUGACACCUUCUGCUCCAAGAGUCUAGAGCAGUGCCUGGCACAUUGAAGGCCCUCGAUAAAUACCUACUGAGUGAAAGAAUCACUUAUCACAUGCCAAAUUCUGUGCUAGGAGAUGGGAACCAGAGCCUAUUUCAUGGGGAUGUGACCUUUGCUGAAUCACAGGGCGCCACACUUGGUUGAAGGCUGUGCUGUCACCAUCUUGAAAUACCUAAUACACUUUGAAUGAGGAGCCCAUAUUUCCAUUUACACUGGGCUCUGAAUUCUAUGAUGAGUCCUGAUGGGGAUGUUCCAGUGUUACUACCUGUAUGAAGGUUUGAUCUGGAGGAAGGAAUUCUAAGAAAAGAUAUAUACCACGAAUAUGUAUUUUAACAUGAAAGAUAUAUGUGUGUACAUACACACACACACAUCUGCAUGAAUCUUUUGAUUCAGAGCUAAUGGCUUUUCUGUCAUCUUUCUUGUAUAAAACACACCCUUAAUGCAUCGUCCAUGAUUUCCUGUUUUCAUUUCUUGAAAGGGG